GCUAGGCGUGGAGGUGCAUGCCUGUAAUCCCAGCAGCUUGGGAGGCUGAGGCAGGAGGAUUAUAAAUUCAAGAGCAGCCUCAG
rnacentral:sRNA from 1 species